GACGGAGGGUGCAAGCGUUGUUCGGAUUGACUGGGCGUAAAGGGCGCGUAGGCGGCACAGCAAGUCGGGAGUGAAAGCCCGGGGCUCAACCCCGGAAUGGCUUUCGAAACUGCUGAGCUAGAGUACAGAAGGGGCAACCGGAAUUCCCAGUGUAGCGGUGAAAUGCGUAGAUAUUGGGAAGAACACCUGAGGCGAAGGCGGGUUGCUGGGCUGAUACUGACGCUGAGGCGCGAAAGCCAGGGGAGCAAACGGG
rnacentral:rRNA from 1 species